GCCGCAGCCCAUCCACCGUCGUUAUCCGCCGCAAAUUGUGCCGUGCGAAUUCAGAUUAUUUUUUACAUCGAUGGAAUUUAGUGGAAUGCAGCUUCUCUCGGAGCUGGGCACGGUGGUGGCGCAGGGCUGCGAUGCCUCCGCCGCCGCCAGUCAGUGACGAGGUAGUAAUCAGUUGUUUCCUAUUCAAUUUGCUUUUUGCUGUAUUUUGAUCGUUGUAAUUUCGAUAUAUUUUUGGUUUAGGGUUUAUUUGUUCAAAUUGAUUGGUUUAUCCUUUCACUAAUUUUAUUUCAAUCUAUCUUUUUGAAACCUAUUCGUGUUUAUGGUGAAAGGAUAACUCGGAGUGAUUUUGAUAUUGCUCUAAAAUCGACUCCAUGAAUUUUGAACUGAAGUCAAGAAAUAAUUGUUGAUUCAAUUACUAGGUAAUUAGAAGGGAUAUAAUCUCCACUGCCCUAGAAUCUAAAAAAGACCAAAUAUUAGUUUAGAUGGUGAUGAAGAUGUGUGAGAAAGCUGUUGUUAGCCUCAGUUUCAUCACUUUGAACUUGGUAGAAUAAGGGUGCAAUGAAGAUGAGGUUCUAAUGUGCCUGCUGUUGCUUGUUCCUCGGAUUUGAAACACGGGUGCUGCGUGUUUAUCUUCUAAUCUCCGACUACAACUAUAUCAUUCAUUGGCUGCAAGGUUCAUGGUUAUGAUGACCUCAAAGUGCCUAAUUUGGUGCUUUGGAGCGCUCGCCCAAUGCAGGAUGUGUAAUAUGUGAUGUAGCAUGACCAAUUCUCGUGACUGUUGAGUUAUUGAGCUAUACUUUAACUACUUUGUUGUAUGUUCGGUGUGACUGAAUCGUUUCUCCUUUCACGAGUUUCUCCAUGACUGAUUAGUGUGCUAUGACUUUGUAUUAUGCACUGAUGAAGUGAAGUAUAGUGUCAUAUAUUAAUGAAUGAGGAUGGUUAAUUUUGCGUAACAGUAUUUACUUUCUGAACACAUUAUGUAACACUGAGGAUUGCUGCUCACCUAAAAUAGACUAUUAAACAUGGUUUAAAUUUUUAGAGUUACAUAGAUUUAGUAAAAGUUGUAGAAAAGUAAAUCUUAAUUUAAAUUUGGUCUUGCCCCAUGAUAAAUGUAUCAUUAGUCAUUUUCCAAUUAUAUGUGAUAUUUAAAGAAAAGAUGAGUAUAGAGUUGUGUAGCAGUUUAUGCUUGAUAUGGGUGAUGUUAGCUAAGCCCUUUUAUUACUUCCUCCUUCCCAGAAUACAGUCCCAUAUUCAUUUUUGUCUCAACAUUAUAGUCUACCUUCUCUAAAAAAAUUGCACCAAGGUAUCUUAUCUGUAAUAUUCCACUAUUAAAUGGUCUUGAAAAUAAUACUUUCAUUUUAGAAGCGUAAAUGAGGAUAUAUCACGGGAUUUGUAUGUCCAUUUUACUUCACUCGCACUAAAUGCAUUUUCCUAUUAUAAAUUUGGGACUGAAGGAGUAAAGUUUUUUGGCCAAAUGCAUUCGAUAUUAACAAAGUUGGCGAGACAUUUGUUCCAAUUCUGAAUCAUGCACAGCCUACGCAUGACGCGUCACUAGUGUACGUGUCGAGCACAUGUGCAUUGCAUGCCACCGAUUAACCAUCUGUCAUGCGCGAGAUGUGCAUAAAUACCAGCCCUGCCUCUUCCAUUUCAUGCUCAAUACAUUGGAGCUCUUGUUAUCAAGGGCUUUUCUUUUGUUCUCUUGUAGUGGCUUUUUUUCUGCUUCAUUGGGAUAUUCUCAUAGUUGCUGAUGAAUUUGUCAGGAGUGUUUACAGGUUCAACCUAACUCACCUCUGAUUUUUUGUGAUUGUGUUUGCUUUCUGGUUGAUAGUCUAUAUUGAAUUUUGGUUUGGGGCUUUCUCCUUUGAUGUAUUACAAUUCUCUCCAUUGGUUGUUUCUUUUGUGUUUCUGCUCUUUUUUUUAAUUAUGCUUUUAGCCUUCUGUGAUCUGCUUUUGGCCAUUUUUAUGGACAUUGUUACCUCCAGUUCAGUAAUGUCUAACCAAAAUCUUGUGUACACUCGCGCACACACACACACACACGUCUCAUACCCAAGAAGAAAUAAAGCGCUGAUAAAUUUUUGGUUCUUGGUAUGACUUAACAAAUAAGUUAUUGACGAUGAUUGAAUUUCCAUGUUUUGCAGGGCUUGGAGAUAGAAAAUGGAAAUCCCUUAUGAAUCUGAUGGGAGAAGCUCUUGGGGGGAAUGAAGGAGUUGCAGAUGCAAUGAACAAGAAUAAGAGGCACCUAAGUGGUGGUAUUCCUCCCCUUUAUAAAGAAACAGGUAUUGCUGCCCUCCGCCCCCGAGAAAAUAAAAAUGAAACGAUAAGAAACAGAGUUUGAAGCUGUAUCUUGCUUUCACCUUCAGUUUAGUUCUGUAAACCUUUCCCUAAACACGAUCCAUUUAUCCCCCCGUUCCCACGAGGAGUCGAGAACUGAUGACGAGCAUAUCUUACUUUCAGAAGUUUGAAGCUGUUGGUUAAUUCUUGAUGUUUGUUUGCAACACUGAUGCAAAUUGUUUGUUGUGUAGGAUGGUACUAUCCAUUCAUUACGAUAUGAAGAAAUCGCUUGUUAACCCGACGUCAUAUGGGCUGGAAGACUCAAAUGAGGCGGAGGGAAGCUGCGUCUUUAGGCGAGGGCGCAAGCUCGAUGCUAACACGAGGCCUCGUCUACCGGCGUCUAGCUUCUUUACCUCACGUCUUCCAUUCCCGCCUUUGCCUGUCUCCGAGAGAUCGAGGCAAGACCACAGGCUCGAGGCUGUGUCAUCACCAAAAUCAAGAAGAUGGACUACAUCUUCUGUCUAAGAAUAUAAGAUGCGCCUCAUUACUAUGUUUAGAGUUUUUAGUUAUUUAAAUUCAUAUGGUUUGCAUCGCUGCUGCCUGCUGGUUUUUUGCGAUGGUAACUGCAGUAGCAUAAGGUUUGUCUGUGUCAAUUUUCUAGUGUAGAUGUGAUGACUUCAACCCCCAACUUAAUGAUUGGAAGGGAAGCGUCCUAUCUAGUCCUAUCGAGAAACGUCUUAGCAAUUGAAUUGUGCUUUUUAGGGUGUGUUCUAUUUGGUUGUAAAUUUAUCAUGAGAAAUGAAUGAAAAAGAAAAAGAUGGAAUUUUUUUUUAUCA
rnacentral:lncRNA from 1 species